rnacentral:tRNA from 1 species
GUUCCUAUAGCCAAGAGGUAAGGCAUGGCUCUGCAAAAGCUUGACCGUCGGUUCGAAUCCGACUAGGAACU